rnacentral:rRNA from 1 species
AGUCGAGCGGUAGAGAGAAGCUUGCUUCUCUUGAGAGCGGCGGACGGGUGAGUAAUGCCUAGGAAUCUGCCUGGUAGUGGGGGAUAACGUUCGGAAACGGACGCUAAUACCGCAUACGUCCUACGGGAGAAAGCAGGGGACCUUCGGGCCUUGCGCUAUCAGAUGAGCCUAGGUCGGAUUAGCUAGUUGGUGGGGUAAUGGCUCACCAAGGCGACGAUCCGCAACUGGUCUGAGAGGAUGAUCAGUCACACUGGAACUGAGACACGGUCCAGACUCCUACGGGAGGCAGCAGUGGGGAAUAUUGGACAAUGGGCGAAAGCCUGAUCCAGCCAUGCCGCGUGUGUGAAGAAGGUCUUCGGAUUGUAAAGCACUUUAAGUUGGGAGGAAGGGCAGUAAAUUAAUACUUUGCUGUUUUGACGUUACCGACAGAAUAAGCACCGGCUAACUCUGUGCCAGCAGCCGCGGUAAUACAGAGGGUGCAAGCGUUAAUCGGAAUUACUGGGCGUAAAGCGCGCGUAGGUGGUUAGUUAAGUUGGAUGUGAAAUCCCCGGGCUCAACCUGGGAACUGCAUUCAAAACUGACUGACUAGAGUAU